UCCCUACAUCAAUUGCACCAUCAACAACAGCAAUAGACUCAAUAGCAUCCUCAUUUUCGUUGCUCUUUUUCUUCUUUUCAAUUUCAUCACUCCCCACAUCAAUUGCACCAUCAACAACAGCAAUAGCCUCAAUAGCAUCCUCAUUUUCAUUGCUCUUCUUCUUCUUCUUUUUCUUCUUUUCAAUUUCAUCACUCCCUACAUCAAUUGCACCAUCAACAACAGCAAUAGACUCAAUAGCAUCCUCAUUUUCGUUGCUCUUUUUCUUCUUUUCAAUUUCAUCACUCCCCACAUCAAUUGCACCAUCAACAACAGCAAUAGCCUCAAUAGCAUCCUCAUUUCCAUUGCUCUUCUUCUUCUUCUUUUUCUUAUUUUCAAUUUCAUCACUCCCUACAUCAAUUGCACCAUCAACAACAGCAAUAGCCUCAAUAGCCUCCUCAUUCUCUUUGUUCUUCUUCUUCUUCUUCUUCUUUUUCUUCUUUUCAAUUUCAUCACUCCCUGCAUCAAUUGCAUUAUCAACAACAGCAACAGCAAUAUCCUCAAUAGCAUCCUCAUUUUCAUUGCUCUUCUUCUUUUUCUUUUUAUUCUUUUCAAUUUCAUUACUCCCUACAUCAAUUGCACCAUCCACAACAGCAACAGCAAUAGCCUCAAUAGCAUCCUCAUUUUCAUUGCUCUUCUUCUUUUUCUUAUUUUCAUUUUCAUCACUCCCUACAUCAAUUGCACCAUCAACAACAGCAAUAGCCUCAAUAGCAUUCUCAUUUUCAUUGCUCUUCUUCUUUUUCUUCUUUUCAAUUUCAUCACUCCCUACAUCAAUUGCACCAUCAACAACAGCAAUAGCCUCAAUAGCAUCCUCAUUUUCAUUUCUCUUCUUCUUCUUCUUCUUUUUCUUCUUUUCAAAUUCAUCACUCCCUACAUCAAUUGCACUAUCAACAACAGCAACAGCAAUAGCCUCAAUGGCAUCUAC
rnacentral:lncRNA from 1 species